rnacentral:lncRNA from 1 species
UAGCCACUGCUGCAUUUCAUGAUUAUGAGAUAUGGCAGAUGGAUGUCAAGACCGCUUUCCUUAAUGGGAAGUCGGCUGACGAUGUUUACAUGGCUCAGCCAGAGGGUUUUGUCGAUACGAAGCAUCUCAAUAGAGUGUGCAAGCUUGAGAAGUCCAUUUAUGGGCUUAAGUAAGCGUCUCGCAGAUGGAAUCUCUGCUUCGAUGAGAACGUCAAAGAUUUUAGAUUUGUACGAAGCGAAGAUGAAUCAUGUGUAUAUGUCAAAGCCAGGGGAGUAUAGUUAGCUUCCUCGUUUUGUAUGUCGAUGACAUACUACUAAUAGGAAACGACGUCCCGACACUGCAGGAGGUUAAGUCCUGGCUGGGGAAGUGUUUCGCUAUGAAGGACCUUGGAGAGGCUUCCUAUAUUUUGGGAAUAAGGAUAGUGAGAGAAAGAAGUAAGAGACUAAUAGGACUUAGUCAGAACACUUACUUAGAUAAGGUACUAAAACGUUUUAGUAUGGAAAACUCGAAGAAGGGAGAAUUACCGAUACAAAGUAAUGCCAAGUUGAGUAAGACUCAAAGUCCGAGUACCGAAGCUGAGAUAGCAGAAAUAAGCCGAGUACCAUACGCUUCCGCUGUUGGCUCAAUCAUGUGUGCUAUGACUUGUACUCACCCUGCUGUAGCCUUUGCUUUGAGCAUGGUCAGUAGAUAUCAAGGGAACCCUGACAGAGCCCAUUGGAUUGCGGUCAAGAAUAUCCAUAAGUACCUUCGGAGGACCAAGGAAUGGUUUUUAGUCCUCGGGUGGAGUGAUGACUUAAAGGUGCGAGGGUAUAGUGACGCCAGCUUCCAGACCGACAGGGACAACUACCGUUCGCAGUCGGGCUGGGUCUUUACCCUNGAGGGUAUAGUGAUGCCAGUUUUCAGACCGACAGGGACAACUACCAUUCGUAGUCGGGCUGCGUCUUUAACCUUAAUGGAGGAGCAGUGACU